rnacentral:rRNA from 1 species
UGGGGAAUAUUGCGCAAUGGGGGGAACCCUGACGCAGCAACGCCGCGUGAAGGAUGAAGGCUUUCGGGUUGUAAACUUCUUUGAUGAGGGACGAAAGAAAUGACGGUACCUCAAAAACAAGCCACGGCUAACUACGUGCCAGCAGCCGCGGUAAUACGUAAGGUGGCGAGCGUUGUCCGGAAUUACUGGGUGUAAAGGGCGUGUAGGCGGGGAUGUAAGUCAGAUGUGAAAUGCCGGGGCUUAACUCCGGAGCUGCAUCUGAAACUGUGUUUCUUGAGUGUCGGAGAGGAAAGCGGAAUUCCCAGUGUAGCGGUGAAAUGCGUAGAUAUUGGGAGGAACACCAGUGGCGAAGGCGCUUUCUGGACGAUAACUGAGCGCUGAGGC